rnacentral:rRNA from 1 species
UACGUAGGGAGCAAGCGUUGUUCGGAUUUACUGGGCGUAAAGGGCUCGUAGGCGGCCAACUAAGUCAUACGUGAAAUCCCCCGGCUUAACCUGGGAACUGCGUCUGAUACUGGGAGGCUUGAGUAUGGGAGAGGGAUGUAGAAUUCCAGGUGUAGCGGUGAAAUGCGUAGAUAUCUGGAGGAAUACCGGUGGCGAAGGCGGCAUCCUGGACCAUUACUGACGCUGAGGCGCGAAAGCUAGGGGAGCAAACGGG